rnacentral:rRNA from 1 species
GACGAACGCUGGCGGCGUGCCUAAUACAUGCAAGUUGAGCGCUUAACGUUAGUUCCUUUACCGUUUCGAUGGACAGCCAAACGGUGGGUUACCCCUGGGGCAACCUCCUUCGAGCCGGGGGCUAACAUUUGGAACCAAUUCCAAUACCCCAUUAAAACUUUAAACAGCAUUUCACAGAUUUAAAGAUCCAAUUGCAUCCCCCAAAGAUGAUCUCCCGUUGUAUUAACUAGUUGGUUAGGGAAAGGCUCACCAAGGCGAUGAUACAUAACCGAACUGAGAGGGUGAUCGGCCACAUUGGGACUUGGAAACGGCCCAAACUCCUACGGGAGGCAGCAGUAGGGAAUCUUCGGCAAUGGACGAAAGUCUGAAUGAGCAACGCCGCGUGAGUGAAGAAGGGUUUCGGAUCGGAAAAGUCUGUUGGUAGGGAAGAACGUGGGAGAGAGUGGAAAGCUCAUAAAGUGACGGUAACUAACCAGAAAGGGACGGCUAACUACGUG